rnacentral:other from 1 species
AAAUUCCUGCGGUGUGCGUGUAACGGGAUAUGUCUUGAGCCAACGUCCUUAUCCCGCGAGGUUUACUCCGAACCGGCAGCGGCGGCAUAUGCGUAUGUUGCCCACGUUAAGGCUCGGGAGGCCUCACUCCUUGGAGGAGCGGGUCAAGACAGUCCGUCCACGGCACUGCGGGUUUUUU